UUGGGUUUGUUCACUAACUUGUCGGCUGGUGGGACACUCCCUACUUCUCCCGUUUAAGUAGAAUUUUAAUUGUGUUUACAUGAUACAAAACUGUACUUGCUUCUUUGCACAGCGUAUCAGUACGCAAAAGCCUCUGUUUUUCAGGAUGGUUGUUCAUUUAAAGGAGGGCCUAAACCAAAGUGCAUCUCUAUAGUAUUUGUGGAUUAAUCCCACAGAAGGAGUGUAGAUGCGCUCUUAAUACUCUCUUCCUAGUUCCAUAAAAAGGGCUUUAAUUGGGGGGCAGGCCGCUGUGUAAGUUUGUCCAGAAAUGUGUUUGAGUCAGAUCCACCGUGUCCCUGGUGAGUAAAGAUCAAUAAGGUAAUAUUUGUAUUAAUUGCUAAAGACUGUUGUUUGCUUUUAAAAGAAAGGUGCAUCUCUUUUGCUUUUAACAGAAAGGUGCGUCUCUGUUGGAGCUAUCCCUGGAGUCAUCCACAAAAUGCAGUGAACCACCACCAGAGAGAGCCCUGAUUCUAACGUCAGAACACAAGGAUCCAUAAUCAUCGUCAUCUCUGCUAAGAGGUCUACAGCUACAAUGACAGAUGAUCCACAGACCUCUGAUCCAAAAACAUUCCUGGAGUGUGGCCCAUCAGAUGCUGUCGCCCAUAUGAGAGGAAGAGGUGAACGAGGCCUGGUCCAAUAAGAGACUCGGCCCAACACAUGGGAGAAGGCCUUCAGUCUGUGUAAUCUGCUGUUACUCUGAAGUUCAGUCUAAUCUAAACUAAAGCACCAUUCCUGAUGAAGAUCUCCAGAGGAACGAGAACCUCCAACAAAACUAAAGCACCACUCCUGAUGAAGAUCUCCAGAGGAACGAGAACCUCCAACAAAACUAAAGCACCACUCCUGAUGAAGAUCUCCAGAGGAACGAGAACCUCCAACAGUGGUGCUGAGGGGCACAUUGGACCUGUGAAUUUAAUGGAGGAACAAAAAGAAACAAAUGGCUUUUGGAGGACUCAAAAACAAGUCAUGAAGCUCAUCAAAAGACUGCACGCCAAGAGAAAAAUGACAGUGACGAUGAGACGGACUACAGGAACGAUAUGGGACAUCUGGCCUCAUGGUGACACCCAAGGAGAUUAUUGUGGACUUCAACAAAAAUGGGCAAGAUAACCACCAAACUCUGUGUCGGCACUGAGGUAGCAGAGAGGGUGAUCGUGACUGAGGACCUGUCCUGACACAUUCACACUGCCUCCGCUCUGGGGAAAGCCCAACAACGCCUUUACUACUUGAGGAAACUGAGGAGCGCCAACAUCCCCAGUCCAGUGAUGGUGAACUACUACAACUGUGCCAUCAGAAGUGUUCUGACAUCUGGAUUUUUAGUGUGGUUCUCUGCUGCUCUAAGGCCCAUCUACAGGCUCUCCAGCGGGUGGUAAAAACAGCAGGGAAAAUCACUGGGGCGCCUCUCCUUCAGAUCAGUAGCAUCUACGCCACUCGCGGUCUGCCUGACCGACACCACUCUGCUCAUCACCUUUUCCACCUGCUGCCCUCAAGUACAAAGUACAGGUCCAUAGAGUCCAGAACAACCAGACUGACCAACAGCCUGUAUACCUCGGCUGUGAGGAUGCUGAACAGUGCCCCUUUCCCCUCUUGGCCUUUCUCCCUUGGACA